rnacentral:rRNA from 1 species
AGUUUCAGGAAUUUAUCUGAGAUUAAACCUGCCCAAUGUAAAAUUUAAAUUAAUGGCCGCGGUACUUUGACCGUGCUAAGGUAGCGCAAUCAAUUGGCUUUUAAUUGAGGUCAGGAAUGAAUGGAAUUACGUGAUUUAACUGUCUCUUAGUUAAUUGUUUGAAAUUACUAUAUAGGUGAAAAAGCCUGUAAGAAGUAAAAAGACGAGAAGACCCUUAGAGUUUUACUUAGUGUAAUGUUUUAAUAUUAUUAUAAUAGUUUAGUUGGGGCAACAUGAGAGCAAUAUUAAAACAAAUCUCUUCAAUAAAAUUAACCGAUGUUUUUAAAUGUAAAUAAACUACCUUAGGGAUAACAGCAUUAUGUAAUAAAUAAGUUUGUGACCUCGAUGUUGGACUGGGAAACUAAAAGGCUAGUCGUCUUUUAGGAAAGUUCUGUUCGAACUAAGAUUCCC